rnacentral:rRNA from 1 species
AGCGAACGCUGGCGGCAGGCCUAACACAUGCAAGUCGAACGAACCCUUCGGGGUUAGUGGCGGACGGGUGAGCAACACGUGGGGACGUGCCUUUAGGUUCGGAAUAACUCAGGGCAACUUGUGCUAAUACCGAAUGUGCCCUUCGGGGGAAAGAUUUAUCGCCUUUAGAGCGGCCCGCGUCUGAUUAGCUAGUUGGUGAGGUAAUGGCUCACCAAGGCUACAAUCAGUAGCUGGUCUGAGAGGAUGACCAGCCACAUUGGGACUGAGACACGGCACAGACUCCUACGGGAGGCAGCAGUGGGGAAUCUUGCGCAAUGGGCGAAAGCCUGACGCAGCCAUGCCGCGUGGAUGAUGAAGGUCUUAGGAUUGUAAAAUCCUUUCACCGGUGAAGAUAAUGACUGUAGCCGGAGAAGAAGCCCCGGCUAACUUCGUGCCAGCAGCCGCAGUAAAAC